GCUUCUAUAGCUCAGUAGGUAGAGCACUUCCAUGGUAAGGAAGGGGUCGCCAGUUCGAUUCUGGCUGGAAGCUCCA
rnacentral:tRNA from 3 species